AAACUAUAAGUUACAUAAUACUUUGGUCGUCAAACACUAAUUUAUUAUAAUUUCUGGCUCAAACUUUAUAAAUUAUUGUAAUCAAAUCCUACAAUCCAAUUUAGUGGACCGACAUGUUAAAUGUGUUGAUGAUAUGGAGUUGACGUGUCAUUUUAAUUAUUAGUUCUCAUUAAUUAUAAUAUUGCUAUAUUUUAUUAACUAAAGUCAAUUACGAAACUUUAUUUUAAUAGUCUAUAAAAUUUGAGCAAAAUUACAAUAAAUUAAAGUUUG
rnacentral:lncRNA from 1 species